rnacentral:rRNA from 1 species
CCCUUAGAUGUCCUGGGCCGCACGCGCGCUACACUGAGUGUCUGAGAUACGAGUCUGCCUGGUCCGGCAAGGUCUAGGUAAUCGCUAAAAGACACAUCAUGCUUGGGAUAGAUUAUUGCAAAUAUUAAUCUUGAACGAGGAAUUCCUAGUAAGCGCAAGUCAACAGCUUGCGUUGAUUACGUCCCUGCCCUUUGUACACACCGCCCGUCGCUACUACUGAUUGGAUGUUUAAGUGAGGUUCUCGAACUGCUAGCGACUUAGCUUCGGUGAGGUCGCAGUGUGGGAAGUGAACCUAGCUUUGGUGUCUAGAGGAAGUAAAAGUCGUAACA